rnacentral:rRNA from 1 species
CAAUCCAUGAGUAAAGUGGCGUACGGGUGAGUAACACGUGGAUGAUCUGCCCUAGAGUGGGGAAUAACCAGGGGAAACCUUGGCUAAUACCGCAUAAUCCCGAGGGGGGAAAGCCGAAAGGCGCUCAAGGAGGAGUCCGCGGUCGAUUAGCUAGUUGGUAGGGUAAAGGCCUACCAAGGCAACGAUCGAUAGCCGGCCUGAGAGGGCACACGGCCACACUGGCACUGAAACACGGGCCAG